GAUCCUGGCUCAGGAUGAACGCUAGCGGCAGGCUUAACACAUGCAAGUCGAGGGGCAGCACGAGGUAGCAAUACUUUGGUGGCGACCGGCGCACGGGUGCGUAACGCGUAUGCAACCUACCUUUAACAGGGGCAUAACACUGAGAAAUUGGUACUAAUUCCCCAUAACAUUCGAGAAGGCAUCUUCUUGGGUUAAAAACUCCGGUGGUUAAAGAUGGGCAUGCUUUGUAUUAGCUAGUUGGUGAGGUAACGG
rnacentral:rRNA from 1 species